UGCUGAAAAAGUCAAUGCUUAAAUGCAUUAAGUUAACACCACACACCUUGUGUCUCAGCGUGGAGUCCAUGCUUGGAGAUGUUUGGGUGGCCCAAGAAGGACCUGCACAAUAUCAGGUAGGUGGUUUUAAUAUUAUGGCUGAUUGGUGUGUAUCUGCGCAAAUGUUGCGCAUUUGUAACGCGCAUGAAGGCAUCCUUUGAAUGUAUGGCGGCGUCGUUUGUGUGGAUUAUGCGUCAACAUUUCUGUCCUGGUUAUGGAAACGUUUAUGAUUCAUGCGAUUAUAUGUAGACAAUAAACUAGUGUUUAAAAAAACAAAACAAAUGAGAGAGAUGUUUUUUUAAAGAAGUAGCGCUAGAAUUGAGUGCUGUUACUAUACGGAGCUAAAUAGCUAGCUUAGCUUCCUGCAUUAAGGCCUAAUUGUGAGCUUGGCACGUUUUAGGAAGCAACCUUGGGGAUAGAUAUGAGUGUUUAGUUACAUGUUGUAUCAUUUUGAAUUUAGUCGGUUAAUCUGCUUUGAAAUUAUAUAGUGAGGUUCUGCAAACAUGUUAAAUGACCUGAGCAUUGGAUGAUGAUGAUGAUGAUGACCUGCUAAUUUAGACAUUGAUCUCUGAAGGCUUUAUUCUGAAGGUCCACCUUCCUCUGAGCUGAAGCUUUAUCUCCUAGAACAGCAGCAAACAUGACUGGAAUCCAAUCCAGAGAUGAGUCGGUUGGAGACAGUUCUGAUGAUGAACCUCUGAGUAAAAUGGUGAAACCUGGCAAGAAGUGUCCAGAAGAUGCACCCUCGGAUAUCAUGGAAGAUGCUUCACCAAAGAAAACCCUUAAAGAGCCCACCUCUGCUGCGGAUGUUCCAGCAUCCCAGGUUUUCCCAGGGUUUCCUCAGGGUUCUCCAGUUUCCUCCCAGGUCCCACAAAACAAGUGCCCUGGACACAGCUCUGAUGACGAGCCUCUGAGCAAACUGACUGAAUCAAAGGGGGCGAAGCGCUCAAGUAAACAAAAAGAGACUGCUGCGGGGAAGCAGUCAGAAUCUGAAGACGAUCAGCCGCUGACGAUGAUUAUCAAGAAGAAGAAGCAGAAGGCUGACACAGAAGAGCCUGAAGAUGCCAAGAAGACCAGAAGCCCAAAAAAGCGUAAAGCUGUGACGAAGGCCUCAAAGCUCAGAGAUUCAUCACCCUCGCCAUCGCCGUCGCCAGUGAAGGCCACACAGAGAAGAGGACAAAAAGGUAAGGACGAGUCGAAAAAGAAAGUACCGGCACAUUCACCAGCUGUGAACACGACGCCUAAAAGGAGAGGUCGCGCCAAGAAAGAAGGAAAAGCCCCGUGUAGCGACAGCUCGGAUGACGAGCCCUUGAGCGAGCUGCCGUGGAAGAGGAGCGAGCCAGAGAUGAAGCAGGCGGUGGUGCUGGUGGAGAGGAUGUCUGAAAGAGACGUUAAGGAUGCAGUGGCACGCGGACGUGCACACAGCCAAGAGCAGAAAAGUACAGCCAGAGCAGAUGCCAGUUCAGACGACGAGCCCUUGGUGAGGAAAGUGAAAGCAGCGAAGGUGAAGGAUAAGUUUAGAAAGAGAGCUAACGGAGAAGAGGACACAGUCAAACAAGACAGAGAGCUGAGCGAGGAGGACGAGCGUCCACACUGAGAGCCUGGCAGUAGUCACACACAACACAACACGUCUCGCACACGAAUUUAACAGAAGAAACGAGAAGAGGACUCGCUUGUUUCACCGUUCUGUGGAUCAGUAGUUCUGUGCUCAUUCCUUUAUUUAUGUAUAGGAAUAACGUCGCAUUUUCUGAACUCCUAAACCCCGAAACGUGAAUCCCUUUCACUCCAUAACACAUUGAAAAGCUUGAAGUAGUUUCUUUUAUAUUGUUUUAGCAUUUUAAAUUUUGUAUGGUCUUAACCAGGCUUCGGCCUUUUACAUCGUGUACGCUGAUGGUUUUUGAUUUGUAUUUUAAAACAAACAAAAAAAAGUCACUAAAUGUUAUUUACAUAGUUUCUAGGAAGGAAAGUGAAAUGAAAUGUGUUUUUUGAUAAUAUUGACGUGUACACAAGUAUAAACGCAGUGGUGUGAGAGAUAAAUGUGGAGAACGCUGUACAGUAGUUUUCUUUUUGUUUUUUGAUGACCGUUGUUUAGUUUCUUGUGAUUUAAUGUGAUUUUACCAGAUCAGAUUGUUGGAAUUCCCAACAAAUGAAAUAUUCCCGCUGUCAAUACAAUCUAAAGGCUUAAAAAAAUAAAUUACAUCAGUGACUUUGUAAUGAAAAUUGUAGGAACUCUGUGGUUAUUGCCUCUCACCGCUUUUUUCUUUACCGAACCAUACCAUUUUGUCACUCGGCUCUAAUAUAAAUGUCAAGCUUUAGCAAAAAGCUAUAUACAGUCCCCUUCGACACUAUUGGAAAGAAAAGGAAAAUUCAUUUGUUUUUGCUGUAGACUUAAGACAUUUGGGUUUGAGGUCAAAAGAUGAAUAUGAGAAGAGAGUUUUGAAUUUUAGCUUUUAUUUCCUGAUAUUUAUAUGUAAAUGUCUUCAACAAUAUAGAACACAGCACACUUUAUAUCAGAUUACAAAAUUUUGUAGGUGAGCAAAAAAUACUGGAACAUGUGACUGACAGGUGUUUCCUUGUUACCCAGGUGUGUCCUGUUAGAUUGAUUGAUUGCUUGCUUAAACAAUAAAUAGCUCUGAGCAUCUACUCUUGGUUUUAGCUUUCAGUUUCUCCUGUGAAGACUGCAUUUGUUGUUAAAAAGGAUAAACUAACAUGAAGAUCACAGAGCUGUCUAUGGGAGAAAAAUCCAUCAGAGUCACUGCACAAACACUGGGCAUAGCCAAUAGAACAACUUGGAAUGUCCUGAAAAAGAAAGAAACCACUGUUGUACUGAGCAACAGACACCACUGAAUGGGUCGGACAAGGAAAAGAACAACAGCUGAUGACAAACAUUGUAAGAACUGUGAAGAAAAACCCAAAAACAACAGUUAGUGACCUCACCAACAACCUCCACAGGGCUGGGGUAAAGGUAUUUCAAUCCACCAUUUGAAGAAAACUUCAAGUGCAGAAAUAUAGAGGCCAUACCACAAGAUGUAAACCACUCAUCAGCAGUAAGAAUCAGAAAGCCAGGUUGGAAUUCACAAAGAAAUACAGACAUGAGCCACAAAAGUUCUGGAACCAAGAUUAAGCUCUUCCAAAGUGAUUGAAAGUUCAAAGUGUGGAGAAAGAAAGGAUCUGCUCAUAAUUCAAAACAUACGAGCUCAUCUGUGAAACAUGGUGGAGGAACUGUUAUGGAUUGGGUUUGCAUGUCUGCUUCUGGAACAGUCUCACUAAUUUUUAUUGAUGAUGUCACUUGUGAUGGUAGCAGAAGAAUGAAUUCAGAAGUUUACAGGAACAUUUGUCUGCCAAUUUACAGAGAAAUGAAUGAAGAUUAAUAAGGAGGAAUUUUAUCAUGCAGCAAGACAAUGAUCCAAAACACACUGCCAACUCAACAAAGGACUUCAUCAGUGGGGGGAAAGUGGAAGGAUUUAGAACCUCCUGAAGAGAGAAACCUCACGACAACAAACAACUGAAAGAAGCUGCGGUAAAAGCCUGAAAAAUCAUCACAAAAGAAGAAACCAACUUCAUGACUUAUCUUUUCCUAUACUUUUGCUUGCCUAAAAAUUGGGUGGUCUGAUGCAAAAGGUUAUGUUGUUUAAACACGUCUAGAUGUAAAUACCAGGAAAUAAAAGCUGAAAUCCUAAUCCCUCAUCUCAUAUCCAUCUUUUGAUCUAAAACCCAAAUGUUUUUGGUGUACAGCACAAACAAAUUAAUUUGCCUUGCCGUUCCAGUAGGUACAGAGGGGACUGUACCACCUGAACUGAUUGUUCUUCUGCUUCUGGACCAUUUGCUAUAUCAGAACUUUCCCGGUUCGAUCCUGAGCUCGGGUUACUGUCUUUGUGGAGCUUUGCAUGUUCUCUGGUUUCCUCUGACUGUCCAAAAAUCCAAAAACAUACCCAUCCGUGGAUGGAUUACACAAAAUUGUGCCUAGGUGUGCGUGACAGUGUGUAUGGUUGGUGCGCUGUGAUGCACAGAUGUACCAUCUCAUGUGUAUCCCCACCUCACGCCGGGCUCCGGUUCCAGGAUAGUGGCUACCGAAAAUAAAUGAUCGAAUUAAUUGUUAGUAUUAUAUCACACAUUAUUAAACUGCACAUACACUAGAGGCUAGGUUUGCUGUGUUAGAAAUCUGAAUGGUUUCAUAUCUAAUUAGAUUGUAGCUAGCGGAGCUGCUAAAGCUUUCUCUUCUAAACUGAGUUUUUUUGUUGACUUUUUUAAAAAAUCCCUCCUUCAAGUGGUUAUAUCACUUAACAAUUAUUAAAUACGCAAGAUGCAUCUUUUAUUUAUCGCAAAACAACACAAUAGUUUGUUAAACUAUAUAAUAAUCAUAAUAAACUGCAGAUAUACUGUAGAUAUUUAGGUGUUUUGCCAUACUGGUAGUUUUUAAAGGUAGUGUUAAAGUUGCUGAAUGUAAUGUAAAGUAAUGUAAUGAAAGCCGACCCCAUCUUUUCUGCAUUAUAGGUAUUAAUACAUCGACAAUGAAGCCUGAGUAAUGUUAUCUCUCAGGGUCUCACUGAUGCUAUAAUAAGGAACUAUUACACACACUCAAAGACAAAUUGGUAGCUGUAUUCAUGAUUUAUAAUUUAAGUAUUUGUAAAUAGUCUGUAAAUCUGUAUUUCCUCUGAAUACCGAAAAUGCGAAAUGGAAAAGCUGCAACGCCUUCUAUUAAAAACAAACAGAAACCUCCAAGAUGCACUAAACUUACAGUUCUGUUGUCUGUCGUUUUGUGUAAUUUGUACUUUGAUUCAACAAUGUGAGCUUAAUUUACUUUUUUUUUUUCCUACAAAGGCAUUUUUUGGGGGAAAAGGGAUGCACUAUGUUCAUGUUCUUUACAGCCGAGACUGUAUUUCACCUGCGUCUUAACAACCACUUCUGAUACUGUGUUACGGAUGUUUCAUCGAAGCAGGCUGAAGAUGGAGAUCAAAUCUGUUUCACUAAGUGUAAUCAACUGAAACGACAAUCACUGAGAAGGUGCAAGAAACUAUAGUCUGGGAUAGAAAGAAAUCAGUCCCAGACUCAAGUCUUCAUACUGUUCUCUGUAUAUUUCUAAUGACCAGUGGUGGUGAUGUUGCGCUUAGUUGAGAAGAAAUCUCAAAUAAUCCUUUUUUCCAGACUUUUAUUAACAGCAUAUAAUCUGAGCUGGAUGCCUAAAUAUUAAACUGUAUAUUUUGUUUUUGAAAUAUGGUGGGGGAGAGGUGAUAUAUAGAUAGGAUAGAGUGCCCUCCAUUAAUAUUGGCAUCCUUGGUAAAUUUGAGCAAAGAAUGCUGUGAAAAAUUGUCUUUAUUGUUUAACGUUUUGAUCUUUUGUUAAAAAAAUUCACAAAAAUACACUGCUCUCAUGGAUAUCAAACAAUUGCGAACACAGCACAGGUUUAUAAAAAAAUGUUUUAAAAAAAUUUUUGUUAAAAAAACAAAAAAAUUUUUGUUAAAUGUAGGUGUGCAACAGUUAUUGGCACCCUUUUAGUCAAUACUCUGUGCUACCUCUUUGCCAAGAUAACCGCUCUGAGUCUUCUCCUAUAAUGCCUGAUGAGGUUGGAGAAUACACGACAAGGGAUCUGAGACCAUUCCUCCACACAGAAUCUCUCCAGAUCCUUCAAAUUUCGAGGUCCACGCUGGUGGACUCUCCUCUUCAGUUCACCCACAGAUUUUCUAUGGGGUUCAGGUCAGGGGACUGGGAUGGUCAUGGCAGGACCUUGAUUUUGUGGUGAGUAAACCAUUUUUGUCUUGAUUCUGAUGUAUGUUUUAUAUCAUUGUCCUGCUGGAAGAGCCAACCACGGACCAUUUUAGCUUUCUGGCAGAGCGAGUAAGGUUUUCAUUUAAUAUCUGUUGAUAUUUGGUAGAGUCCAUGAUGCCAUGUAUCCUAACAAAAUGUCCAGGUCCUCUGGCAGAAAAACAGCCCCAAAAACAUAAAAGAGUCACCACCAUAUUUAACCGUGGGCAUGAGGUACUUUUCCAUAUGGCUACCUCUCUGUGCGCACCAAAACCACCUCUGGUGUUUAUUACCAAAAAGCUCUAUUUUGGUUUCAUCUGACCAUAGAACCCAAUUCCAUUUUAAGUUCCAGUAGUGUCUGGCAAACUGAAAACGCUCAAGUUUGUUUUUGGAGGAGAGUAGAGGCUUUUUUCUUGAAACCCUUCCAAACAACUUGUGGUGAUGUAGGUGACUUCGGAUUGCAGUUUUGGAGACUUUCUGACCGCAAGACGCAACUAACUUCUGCAAUUUUCCAGCUUUGUUGAACAAUUACCUGUUCAUAGUCACCCAGGUGUACUAAAAAUGUAAAAUAUCAAUGAGAAUAUACUUUUUUUUCUCAAAUGAAUUCAUAGGGGUGCCAAUAAUUGUUGCACAACUAUAUUUAACAAAGAUAUAUAUUUUUAUAAACCUGUGUUGUGUUUGCAAUUGUUUGAUAUCCAUGAGAGCAGAGUAUUUUUGUGAAUUAUUUGAACAAAAUAUCAAAAAGUUAAACAAUAAAGACAAUUUUUCACAGCCUUCUUUGCUCAUAUUUACCAAGGGUGCCAAUAUUAGUGGAGGGUGCUGUAGAUACAUUAUUGAUCUCCUGAGAGAAAUUGCAGUGUUACAGUAGUGGUAAAAAAAAAAAAACAUUUUCAGAUAUCAUGAAUACAAUGAAAAAAAUGUGAAACAAAUAAGUAUAGUGCAUAAACAAAACAAACAACAAUAAUCUAGCCAUACUAACACAAUUAUACCAUCCAUCCAUGUCCAAAACAAAUAAUGUCCAUCCUGUGUUGGUUCCUUUCCACUGAUGGACAGGGUAGCUUCAGGACUUGACAGAUAUAAUUACAGUCAGUAAUUGUAUAUUGUAUACAGUAUGAUUUAUGAGUGGAAUCGAUGUAGCUGCGCAUUUCCUGCGCAGAGAUGAUAAUCAGAAACGCACUCCGUCAGCGAACGUUGGUUAAAGAGCUUUUUUGUCCUUCGUCGCAAUCCGUAGCUGA
ensembl:lncRNA